rnacentral:snRNA from 1 species
AUACCUUUCUCGGCCUUUUGUAGUAUCUGUUCUUAUCAGUUUAAUAUCUGAUGUGUGGGCUAUCGGCUCACACGAUAUUAACUCAAUCUUUUAAGGGGAAGGUUCAUCAAGGUAGCUUGCUGCUUGGCCUUCGCGCGUCGUCUUGGUCUUGCACUAUUGCUUGGGCUUGGCGCACCCCAC